rnacentral:rRNA from 1 species
UACGGAGGGUGCAAACGUUGCUCGGAAUCAUUGGGCGUAAAGCGCACGUAGGUGGUUUGUUAAGUCGGAUGUGAAAGCCCCGGGCUCAACUCGGGAAGUGCAUUCGAAACUGGCAGGCUUGAGUAUGGAAGAGGGUCGCGGAAUUCCCGGUGUAGAGGUGAAAUUCGUAGAUAUCGGGAGGAACACCAGUGGCGAAGGCGGCGACCUGGGCCAAUACUGACACUGAGGUGCGAAAGCGUGGGGAGCAAACGGG